rnacentral:rRNA from 1 species
UACGUAGGGGGCAAGCGUUGUCCGGAUUUAUUGGGCGUAAAGAGCGUGUAGGCGGCCAGGUAGGUCCGUUGUGAAAACUCGAGGCUCAACCUCGAGACGCCGAUGGAAACCAUCUGGCUAGAGUCCGGAAGAGGAGAAUGGAAUUCCUGGUGUAGCGGUGAAAUGCGCAGAUAUCAGGAAGAACACCCGUGGCGAAGGCGGCUCUCUGGGACGGUACUGACGCUGAGACGCGAAAGCGUGGGGAGCGAACAGG